rnacentral:tRNA from 1 species
YUGAUAGUGGAGCUGUUGCUUCUUCCUUG